UAUCAAACGGAACAUUUCAGUCUCUAUCAACUUUGGCCGAAUGAAGUUAACGUGGAUUGUUGGGGUCGCAAGCAGAGCCAUGCUGUGAGGGAUUGACGAUAAGGUUUCUCUUCUUUGAAUAUUUCCAUGUCCACACGUUAUGAAGAGGAUAUUGUCGUUUAAAAGCGAGCUUCAUCGAUCUGCUUGAUUAUUUUUUUCUUCUUUUUCCACUUCGAAGAAUGUCAGAAACAGAAGCAUUGCUGCUGAUGGUAUGCUUCUUACUUGCUCACGCAGCAGCAGAUCUCAAUGAGGAGAUGAGAGAUUUUCUCCGAGACGUGAAUCCUCCGUUUGUCAUAAAUCAUACGGUUUGUUUUUUCGUUUUCAGAUCCUUGUGAACAGUUAUCAAAUCGAGACAUCAUCCUCUGCGUCCCAAUUAAAAAUCAACUGUCUCUAAGAAACCAGACACUGCAGCUUCGGCCUGCUCAAAUGAUGAGCAAACAAGAGCACAAUGGAUCAGAAAAUUCCGGUCAGCUGUUUGGUUUAGAAGUUGGAUCGUGCAAGGAAAACACAAUACCGGUGUUGCACACUUCGAAUACCAUAGUCGCAAGAUUUGAUUCUGUGAGGAAGCUAACCAAAAAACAUUCCUCUGGAAAAAAUCGAGUGCCAUUGGCUGAUGAAGAACCUGGCGUAGAAACUCAUGAGCAUGGCUACAACCAGUUGAACGGCAACUUCCAAGGGAUGGAAACAACUAUAAAUGUUUGGGAGCCAUACGUGGAACAAACUUCCGAGUUCAGUCUGUUGCAGUUGUGGAUUAUCUCAAACAAAUUAGGCCCAGGUACUCCAUAACACCAUCCUUGCCACAGUGAAGCAGGAUGGCAGGUGUGUUGAAAUUUAGAUGUUUCUAUACUGAACCUUGCUUGAAGGUUUAUCCUAAUUACUAUGGAGGAACUGGGCCUCGACUCUUUGUCUACUGGACGGCUGAUGGCUACAGAAAUCAAGAAACUAGGAAAAAUAUCACAAGCAAUCUCUCAUGCUAGUAAUCUCCAUCAACACAUUGUGACUGGACUCAUGCUUAAGGAUUAGCAUGAGGCCUUAUGCUAAAGUGCUAAAAAGAUUUUGAUUUGUCUAGUUUCUUGAUGGUAA